UGAAUGUUUUCAGAAUAUUCACCUACAUGUUGCCCAAAGUCAAGGCUGCCCUGGGGCAGUGUGUAUACCUGAAUGACAAUCAGUACAGGCACUGAGGGAAGGGAGAACCAAUGCUGGAGAGGCAAGCAUAACUGCCACUGUUAACUUUGUGACCAAACUUCAUGUCUUGUGGCCUAAAGGACAAUCGUAUCCCUUCUGGGGGAAUUUCCCCACCUCCAUGUUGAAGCCAAGGAUGACUAGUACUCCAUGGAAAAGAGGUCAACAUGAUAACCAGGAGAUGUGGUCAUGGGGCAUUAAAAGGUUCGAAGCUGUUCCAGAAAGGAUGUCAUUGAUGUGGAAUACAGGUGAGCCACUUGGUCCUCAAGGGAGUGCCAGGGAGGAGAGUAAAGACCA
rnacentral:lncRNA from 1 species